AACGAACGCUGGCGGCAUGCCUAACACAUGCAAGUCGAACGAGACCUUCGGGUCUAGUGGCGCACGGGUGCGUAACACGUGGGAAUUUGCCUCGGGGUAUGGAAUAAACUCAGGGAAACUUGAGCUAAUACCAUAUAAUGUCUUCGGACCAAAGAUUUAAUCGCCCUGAGAUAAGCCCGCGUAGGAUUAGCUAGUUGGUGGGUAAAGGCUCACCAAGGCGACGAUCCUUAGCUGGUCUGAGAGGAUGAUCAGCCACACUGGGACUGAGGCACGGCCCAGACUCCUACGGGAGGCAGCAGU
rnacentral:rRNA from 1 species